rfam:Ictidomys tridecemlineatus contig030743, whole genome shotgun sequence.
GGGGGUGUGGCUCAGUGGUAGGGCACUUGCCUAGCAGGUGCAAGACCCUGAGUUCAAUCCCCAGUACUACCA